AAUUCUAUGAAUCAUUAUUUGAAUUAAAAUUUUAACUAAUCGUAAAACUAAAACAACAAAGUAUAAGAAUUUAUUUGUGGAGCAAUUUUCACUAUGAAAAGUCAUUAAUGAGAACUCUCAAUGUCAGAAAUAAUUAUAUAAGAAAAAAGAGGCCGUUGUCAAAGAACGCUUAUUACCAUAAUUCUACCGUAUCGUGAAUAUAUCAUUAUUUAUUAGAUUGUAAAACAAUUGUCAACUAAAAAUCUCUUAUUGCGAUAGCAAAAUGAAUUGUGUUAAUCGCUAUCUAUAGCUUGCAGGCCUUCUCCACUUAUGAAUAAGUUAUAAAAAUUCACAUCUCUUGAAAAAAUCAUCAUACAUGAUCAUGCAAGAUCAUCUGUUGAUCUCAUGUAUGACCAUGCCUGAAUAUUCGCCAGGCCUAAAAAAGCAUGAGCAAGCACUCUCAUGUCUGACUAAGCACGAUCAUGCCUUUUUAGAUCUAGCGAAUAUUCAGGCAUGACCAUGCAUGGGGAAGCAUCAUCGUGCAUGACCAGGUAUGAUCAUGCAUUAAGAACAAAAUAACGAUAAAAAAAAAAUUUUAUGAAAUAAAUUUUUUUUGGUCCAUCACGGUUUUUGUCUUUCACUAGUUAGAUGUUAUCAAUUGUUUUUUUCACUGAAAAAUACCAUUUAAAAUUUGGUCUUUGACCAGGCUCGAACUCGGAAUCGUUGAUACAUGAAGCACGAACGAUAACCACUACGCUGGUCCGCCUUAUUACUUCAAAAGAUUUUUACUCCAUACUGUAUUUUUUGUUCGUCGUUACAGUGAUUGUGUCUUGAGUGCAAUGUUAUUAAUGAUUUAGUUUUUAAUAAAUUCAAUUUAAUGUACAUGUUUAACAAAAAAAUAUGUUUUUUGCGAAAAAAAGUAGGGUCGACAGUAUUUAUAAACGAGUGUUAUGCAUUUUUGUUUGUAUCAAUUUUUUUAUAUAAUCCCUCUAACUGACCUUCAAGAUAAGAUGUUGAAUACUGUGAUAAUUCAAGCUGUUUUUUUCUUUUUAUGUAUUCUUAAUGAUAUUUACGGAACUAAUAAAGUUGCACCGAAGCAGACCCCAUUGCUGCGGCGAAUCAAAGACUACUUUCAUGCGACGUUUAGUUUUCCACUUGCCAUGUUUGUAGGUAUAACAUUUUGGUCAUUGAUGUUUUUUGACCGUGAAUUGGUGCUUCCUAAAGCUCUCGAUCCAUAUUUUCCAUGGUGGUUAAACCAUUUAAUGCAUACAAUGAUUAUGAUAACAACGGUACUUGAAAUGAUAAGUGCGCCGAGACAGUAUCCAAAAAAAAAGUCCGGGUACAUUGGACUCUAUGCGCUUAUGAUUUCAUACCUUAUAUGGAUACAUAUAAUUUAUUAUAAAAGUGGAGUUUGGGUAUAUCCAGUUAUGGAAGUAUUAUCGUGGCCGUUACGAAUCUUAUUUUUCAUAUCAUUAUUUGGGUUCACUGGAUUACUUUACUACGCAGGUGAAAUUAUUGACAAUUUAAUUUGGGGUAGUAAGAAAUCGAAGAAUCAUCAAAAGAGUAUGACCAAAUCAAAAUAACGUUACUUAAUAUCACCAAAAUGUGAUAUUGGAAGAUAUUAUGUUCUAAUUCAGAAAAGAUAUCUUAAAUAGAAAGUCAUAUUAUACUAAUAUUAUAAUGAAGAAAAUAUAAAAUUGCUAUUUCAGUGAACUGAUUUAUGCAAGUAUAUGGGUAGUAAAAAAAGUAGAGAUUUCUUCAUCCUUCAAAUACUUCAAGGUGAUAAAUGUUGAAAAAUAAAUUACUAAUAGGUUAUUGCGUUAUAAAUACUCUAUGGAGAUCAAUAAAUAAUAAUUCUUAACAAUGUUAAGUGGGGAACUGAUAUGCUAGAAAAGUCAUUAGUAUUCUAACACGAUGAACGACUUAAAUGAAUUUCACAAAAGAAAAAAAAAAAAAAAAAACUGUUUGGAGCCAAGUGCAUAAGG